GCACCUAUGGCUCAGUGGUUAGCGCGUGGAGCUGUUAAUUCUAAGCAGGUCACUCCAAGGUCCCUGGUUCGAAACCAGGUAGGUGCG